rnacentral:rRNA from 1 species
AUGAACGCUGGCGGCGUGUUUUAGGCAUGCAAGUCGAACGAGUCCCGCAGCAAUGCGGGACGAGUGGCAAACGGGUGCGUAACACAUUGGUAAUCUACCUUCGAGACGGGGAUAGCUUCCCGAAAGGGAAAUUAAUACCCGAUGGUCAUGGGGGGACACAUGUCAUUCCCAUGUAAAGAUUUAUUACUCGAAGAGGAGCCUAUGGCCUAUCAGCUAGUUGGCGGGGUAAAAGCCCACCAAGGCUAUGACGGGUAGGGGACGUGAGAGCGUGAUCCCCCUCACUGGGACUGAGACACUGCCCAGACUCCUACGGGAGGCUGCAGUCAAGAAUAUUCCGCAAUGCGCGAAAGCGUGACGGAGCGACGCCGCGUGCAGGAUGAAGCCCUUCGGGGUGUAAACUGCUUUUACGAGGGAAGAAUUUGUGACGGUACCUCGUGAAUAAGAGGUUGCUAACUCUGU